UGCUCGAGUGGCGAACGGGUGAGUAACACGUGGGUGAUCUGCCCUGCACUUCGGGAUAAGCUUGGGAAACUGGGUCUAAUACCGGAUAGGACCAUCGUUUAGUGUCGGUGGUGGAAAGUUUUUUCGGUGUGGGAUGAGCUCGCGGCCUAUCAGCUUGUUGGUGGGGUAAUGGCCUACCAAGGCGUCGACGGGUAGCCGGCCUGAGAGGGUGUACGGCCACAUUGGGACUGAGAUACGGCCCAG
rnacentral:rRNA from 1 species